rnacentral:lncRNA from 1 species
GAUUGGUGUAGAGAUGUCAUGGAUUCCCGUUUUAAAUUCUAUGUCAACACCUUCCAGUUUGGUCUAGCAAGCAAGCUGAAAAGAUUAAUGGAUAUAUACGAUGUCUCAGGGUCAAUUAGGCACAUGUAUGCACCGAGAAAAUUUCUCCAUGAGGAGGGUUGAAGUCAUUGGAACCGGCCAAGCUGUUGUUGGUAUGCGAAACAGUAGAAUAGUUUAAUCAUCCUUAUGAGCAAGAAGUAAUUUUGCUAAU